GUGGGCCGUAGAUGUGGGCGCCCAAUGAUAAGCAGCGAGCGAGCUCUGAGCCUCCGACCCAGUUCAUAAACAAACAGACUCACGCCGUCUCGCCGGACUCUGUUCCCCAAUCUCUCGCCGGCACCGGCAUCCCCGUCACCUCACCGGAUUACUGCGCCACCGUGGAGUGGAGGAUUCGCUCGAGUCCGCCAUCAUCCGGUCAUGAGACGGGGGGAGAGAGAGGAGCCGCGCAUCGGCGGCGACAGAAGAGGACGGCGCGCGCGCGCGCAGGAAACCGUCCGGGCGGCGCCCAAUGGCAGAAGCGGGAGGAGGCGUGCCGGCGGCUCGGCUCCUGGAUGAUCACUCAAACUCUCUUCUUAAAAGGUUUACAAGACUUUUCCAGCCAGAUGAACCUGUGACACAAGGACAAGCUGCAGUAGCACUUCCAACUGGGACUUCUGCCCCAAGUGGUUACGGAGGAACUUGCUCGCAUCGAAGCAGAGAAAAAUAGCUGAAUGCACAUGGUGCAUCGGUCGCUCAGGCUGGGAGAGAAACCGAUGCAUGCAAGCUCUGAAAGGGAGCACAAGGGUUAGAGGGGAAACAAGUUAAGCUAGGUUAUCAUUGGACAGGUUGAGAGCAGAAAAGAGAGGAGGCUAGAGCUGUUGUUCAAUCAGAAACAGUGCUUCCUUCAGAAUAGAUGUAUGAAGUAGAGGCGUAGAUGCAAUGUGUGCUGAGUAGGAAGGUAAGGUAUCUCCUUUGAGAAGAAUAUAACCGAGAGCGAAAACGAGGCUACUGUGCAACUUCAGUACGAGCUUGAAGUUGGAAAGGAAAGCCUUUUGUACAGGCAGGUAAGAAGAAUUUUAGUCAUGCCUGAGGUUUCCCAUUGAUUAAAAUUUAUUUGGUAAUGCCCUCAACCUGUCUCAAAUUGCAUGUUAGUUUCUUAUUUAGCUGAGGUAAGAAUAAAAGCUUAUUUUCUUGCUCUGUACAUAAGUUAACCACCCUUGGAUAUGUUGCAUCAUGCCUUGCUGAAAAUGAGGAAAUCUUUGGAACCUUCUCUAUGUAAAAUUCCUAUCCACUUGCAUAACAUAAGUUGUUACACAUAGAACCUACCGCAGCUCUUAUUCUCUUUGAAGUUGAUUGCAGCUGCUGCUCAAGGUGGCAACUUGUGCACACAAUGUGGGUACGCUUGGUGAUUUCCUAUUCAUACAAGGAUUGGCAGAAGUAGUGUAAUUUUUUAGCACGCUUUCAAGAUCAUAUUUGAACAUCUCGGAGAAUGUUCAGAACAACCAUUACUUUCUCUCCGCGGAGAUGCAGUGUGUGCUGAGCAAUAAUUUAAGGAUAUUGUUUGAGAAGAAUAUGAUUCAGAAACUUCAGAAGGAAAUAGAGAAUGAAAACGAGGCUGUUGUGCAACUUCAGUACAAGCUUGAAGUUGAAAGGAAAGCUUUGUCUACAGCCAGAGGACGUGACUCCAAUUCCCACUGUCAGCAGUCAGCACUCGCCGGAAGGGUGGAAGGAGGCUGUAGAUGUCUUCUUCAGGCUAUCUUUCACCUCCCAUGGUAGCAAUCAAGAUCUUACUCCUCUGUGGUCCUGCUAUUUCUAUGCUUAUCAGGAGCUUUAAUUUGGCCCUGUCAAGGAUCGUUUGAUGUUAGUUGAACCUAUAGUGUUGCUUGGAUCCCAUUUUUGGUUCAGAAACUAGUCAUAUGUAUGCGACAAACUAGCUUUGGUCCAUAGAAACCAUGAAAUGCAGUGAUCUCGUGCUGUAUCAGUUGCUA